rnacentral:rRNA from 1 species
AUUGAACGCUGGCGGCAUGCCUUACACAUGCAAGUCGAACGGCAGCGGACCUUCGGGUGCCGGCGAGUGGCGAACGGGUGAGUAAUAUAUCGGAACGUACCUUUCAGUGGGGGAUAACGUAGCGAAAGUUACGCUAAUACCGCAUAUUCUGUGAGCAGGAAAGCAGGGGAUCGCAAGACCUUGCGCUGAUUGAGCGGCCGAUAUCAGAUUAGCUAGUUGGUGAGGUAAAGGCUCACCAAGGCGACGAUCUGUAGCGGGUCUGAGAGGAUGAUCCGCCACACUGGGACUGAGACACGGCCCAGACUCCUACGGGAGGCAGCAGUGGGGAAUUUUGGACAAUGGGCGCAAGCCUGAUCCAGCCAUGCCGCGUGCGGGACGAAGGCCUUC